CUAAGCAAUACACGUGAAGAAAACGGAAGUUCCAUGGUUGUGUUCUUCUAGCAAACGCUGAGGGGUGCACAUAAAGGACAGGCAUCUUCGGGUCAAUUCACGGGUCAGAUACUCUUCAUGACUUCUUCACCAUUGCGCAGUGAUGAUGAAUGAUGACGAUGGAAACUGAAUUAGUCUCAGGAGAGGGCCUUUGAAACUGAGCCUGAGGAUAUAUUCUAAUCUGAA